CUUCUCACUACUGCACUUGACUAG
rnacentral:piRNA from 4 species